AACGUAGGAUGCGAGCGUUAUCCGGAUUUACUGGGCGUAAAGCGCGUGUAGGCGGUUCGGUAAGUUGGAUGUGAAAGCUCCCGGCUUAACUGGGAGAGGUCGUUCAAUACUGCCGAGCUAGAGGAUGGUAGAGGGAGGUGGAAUUCCGAGUGUAGUGGUGAAAUGCGUAGAUAUUCGGAGGAACACCAGUGGCGAAAGCGGCCUCCUGGACCAUUUCUGACGCUCAGACGCGAAAGCUAGGGUAGCAAACGGG
rnacentral:rRNA from 1 species